rnacentral:ribozyme from 1 species
AUAGAAAGUGUCACAGAAACUAAACUACCAUAACAAACCUUGGUUCGUUAUGGAAAAGGUGAAAACGUGAGGUAAGAGCUCACGCACUUCCGGGGCAACUCGGACUUGGGAUAAACCUUACGGGUUGAAAUGCCAUGUAUACCUCGAAUCUCAGGAUGGAAGUUACUCGCUUCUAAAUCUUUUGAUUUCAAAAGUGCAUCGGGGAGGGUAGGCAGCGCAGAUAAAUGA